GGGUUGUGAGGUUAAGCGACUAAGCGUACACGGUGGAUGCCCUGGCAGUCAGAGGCGAUGAAGGACGUGCUAAUCUGCGAAAAGCGUCGGUAAGGUGAUAUGAACCGUUAUAACCGGCGAUGUCCGAAUGGGGAAACCCAGUGCAAUUCGUUGCACUAUCGUUAACUGAAUACAUAGGUUAACGAGGCGAACCGGGGGAACUGAAACAUCUAAGUACCCCGAGGAAAAGAAAUCAACCGAGAUUCCCCCAGUAGCGGCGAGCGAACGGGGAGCAGCCCAGAGUCUGAAUCAGCUUGUGUGUUAGUGGAACGGUCUGGAAAGUCCGACGGUACAGGGUGAUAGUCCCGUACACCAAAAUGCACAGGCUGUGAACUCGAAGAGUAGGGCGGGACACGUGGUAUCCUGUCUGAAUAUGGGGGGACCAUCCUCCAAGGCUAAAUACUCCUGACUGACCGAUAGUGAACCAGUACCGUGAGGGAAAGGCGAAAAGAACCCCGGCGAGGGGAGUGAAAAAGAACCUGAAACCGUGUACGUACAAGCAGUGGGAGCACCUUCGGGUGUGACUGCGUACCUUUUGUAUAAUGGGUCAGCGACUUAUAUUCUGUAGCAAGGUUAACCGUAUAGGGGAGCCGCAGGGAAACCGAGUCUUAACUGGGCGUUAAGUUGCAGGGUAUAGACCCGAAACCCGGUGAUCUAGCCAUGGGCAGGUUGAAGGUUGGGUAACACUAACUGGAGGACCGAACCGACUAAUGUUGAAAAAUUAGCGGAUGACUUGUGGCUGGGGGUGAAAGGCCAAUCAAACCGGGAGAUAGCUGGUUCUCCCCGAAAGCUAUUUAGGUAGCGCCUCGUGAACUCAUCUUCGGGGGUAGAGCACUGUUUCGGCUAGGGGGUCAUCCCGACUUACCAACCCGAUGCAAACUACGAAUACCGAAGAAUGUUAUCACGGGAGACACACGGCGGGUGCUAACGUCCGUCGUGAAGAGGGGAAACAACCCAGACCGCCAGCUAAGGUCCCAAAGUCAUGGUUAAGUGGGAAACGAUGUGGGAAGGCACAGACAGCCAGGAUGUUGGCUUAGAAGCAGCCAUCAUUUAAAGAAAGCGUAAUAGCUCACUGGUCGAGUCGGCCUGCGCGGAAGAUGUAACGGGGCUAAACCAUGCACCGAAGCUGCGGCAGCGACACUAUGUGUUGUUGGGUAGGGGAGCGUUCUGUAAGCCUGCGAAGGUGUGCUGUGAGGCAUGCUGGAGGUAUCAGAAGUGCGAAUGCUGACAUAAGUAACGAUAAAGCGGGUGAAAAGCCCGCUCGCCGGAAGACCAAGGGUUCCUGUCCAACGUUAAUCGGGGCAGGGUGAGUCGACCCCUAAGGCGAGGCCGAAAGGCGUAGUCGAUGGGAAACAGGUUAAUAUUCCUGUACUUGGUGUUACUGCGAAGGGGGGACGGAGAAGGCUAUGUUAGCCGGGCGACGGUUGUCCCGGUUUAAGCAUGUAGGCUGAUUGUCCAGGCAAAUCCGGAUAAUCAAGGCUGAGGUGUGAUGACGAGGCACUACGGUGCUGAAGUAACAAAUGCCCUGCUUCCAGGAAAAGCCUCUAAGCAUCAGGUAACAUCAAAUCGUACCCCAAACCGACACAGGUGGUCAGGUAGAGAAUACCAAGGCGCUUGAGAGAACUCGGGUGAAGGAACUAGGCAAAAUGGUGCCGUAACUUCGGGAGAAGGCACGCUGGUGUGUAGGUGAAGUCCCUGCGGAUGGAGCUGAGACCAGUCGAAGAUACCAGCUGGCUGCAACUGUUUAUUAAAAACACAGCACUGUGCAAACACGAAAGUGGACGUAUACGGUGUGACGCCUGCCCGGUGCCGGAAGGUUAAUUGAUGGGGUUAUCCGUAAGGAGAAGCUCUUGAUCGAAGCCCCGGUAAACGGCGGCCGUAACUAUAACGGUCCUAAGGUAGCGAAAUUCCUUGUCGGGUAAGUUCCGACCUGCACGAAUGGCGUAAUGAUGGCCAGGCUGUCUCCACCCGAGACUCAGUGAAAUUGAACUCGCUGUGAAGAUGCAGUGUACCCGCGGCAAGACGGAAAGACCCCGUGAACCUUUACUAUAGCUUGACACUGAACAUUGAGCCUUGAUGUGUAGGAUAGGUGGGAGGCUUUGAAGCGUGGACGCCAGUCUGCGUGGAGCCAACCUUGAAAUACCACCCUUUAAUGUUUGAUGUUCUAACGUUGGCCCCUGACCGGGGUUGCGGACAGUGUCUGGUGGGUAGUUUGACUGGGGCGGUCUCCUCCCAAAGCGUAACGGAGGAGCACGAAGGUUAGCUAAUCCCUGGUCGGACAUCAGGAGGUUAGUGCAAUGGCAUAAGCUAGCUUGACUGCGAGCGUGACGGCGCGAGCAGGUGCGAAAGCAGGUCAUAGUGAUCCGGUGGUUCUGAAUGGAAGGGCCAUCGCUCAACGGAUAAAAGGUACUCCGGGGAUAACAGGCUGAUACCGCCCAAGAGUUCAUAUCGACGGCGGUGUUUGGCACCUCGAUGUCGGCUCAUCACAUCCUGGGGCUGAAGUAGGUCCCAAGGGUAUGGCUGUUCGCCAUUUAAAGUGGUACGCGAGCUGGGUUUAGAACGUCGUGAGACAGUUCGGUCCCUAUCUGCCGUGGGCGCUGGAGAAUUGAGGGGGGCUGCUCCUAGUACGAGAGGACCGGAGUGGACGCAUCACUGGUGUUCGGGUUGUCAUGCCAAUGGCACUGCCCGGUAGCUAAAUGCGGAAGAGAUAAGUGCUGAAAGCAUCUAAGCACGAAACUUGCCCCGAGAUGAGUUCUCCCUGAGACUUUAAGUCUCCUGAAGGAACGUUAAAGACGAUGACGUUGAUAGGCCGGGUGUGUAAGCGCAGCGAUGCGUUGAGCUAACCGGUACUAAUGAACCGUGAGGCUUAACCUUACAACGCCGAAG
rnacentral:rRNA from 1 species